UGGGGAAUAUUGGGCAAUGGGCGCAAGCCUGACCCAGCAACGCCGCGUGAGGGAAGAAGGUCUUCGGAUUGUAAACCUCUGUCCUUGGGGACGAAAAAAAUGACGGUACCCAAGGAGGAAGCUCCGGCUAACUACGUGCCAGCAGCCGCGGUAAUACGUAGGGAGCGAGCGUUGUCCGGAAUUACUGGGCGUAAAGGGUGCGUAGGCGGCUUGGCAAGUCAGAUGUGAAAUCCCCGGGCUUAACUCGGGAGUUGCAUUUGAAACUGCUAGGCUUGAGUGCAGGAGAGGAAAGUGGAAUUCCUAGUGUAGCGGUGAAAUGCGUAGAUAUUAGGAGGAACACCAGUGGCGAAGGCGGCUUUCUGGACUGUAACUGACGCUGAGGCACGAAAGCGUGGGGAGCAAACA
rnacentral:rRNA from 1 species